rnacentral:rRNA from 1 species
UACGGUGAAUACGUUCCCGGACCUUGUACACACCGCCCCGUCAAGCCAUGGAAGCCGGGUGUACCUAAAGUCGGUAACCGCAAGGAGCCCGCCUAGGGGUAAAAACUGGUGACUGGGGCU